rnacentral:lncRNA from 1 species
GUGGUUUGCUUGUCCCAAAUGUGUUUUAUUGGUCACUAUGAGAAACAGGAUUCCAGAUAAGGCCAGCACUGAAAUAUGUGAAAGAGGCCUCUACCCAGAAACAGGUCACAUAGGCAGCAUCCAGACAGCCAUGGCAUUAACCAUGUCAGAAGCAGGAAGUCAAGAGGAGCCUGAACAUUCCUAGGACAGAGAAGAACCAGAAACUGGGAAACGUCUUGGAAAUGCUGCACAUCUUUCACCAAUCUCCUAUUUCUGCUCUGGAGUAUUUCGCUGAGUUAUGGGAAUNAACAGUUGCACGUGUUUACUUAUGCAAGAAGAGUGAGACCCGC